rnacentral:lncRNA from 1 species
UAUUAUGUCUUCACCAACCAUUCACCAUCGAAGCCACAUCUCCAAACCGUGACCCACGACUAUGCAACAAACACCCAAACCACCAGAUCCAAAACAUUACCCUAACCAGAUAACUACCUCUAAGCCACGAUCAACUCUUUCGUAAACAGCCUCUAUCAGCAAAAACAUUCAACCCAACACCACAAUCAAGCCUCAACAAGCCUCAUCACCACCCAUUGUCGACAACCCAGCAUUUUCUUUCAACC